rnacentral:lncRNA from 1 species
GAUAGUCGAGUAGGACGAGAACUAAGCUCGGAACUGCAUUAUAGAAAGUAAGAGUUCACAGUCUUACAUCCUCUUGGUCAAUUGGAGCCCACGUGUCAUUGCAGAUCAAAACUUAUAUUUUGGUUAUCUGUAUUUCUAUUCAUACAAUUUUUACUUUACUUUCAUGUGCGAAAAAUUAUUUACGAAUAUUUCUAUAAAAAUUUAUUUUAUGAGAAAAUAAAAUAUUUUAUUGAUUAUUUUUGAAUAGUACUAGUUGUUAACAAUUUGCUUUCAAAUGAACGUUUUAGAUACUUAUUUUGUUUUUAAAUCAUUA